AUGAUGAUGGGUUUGCUGGCAUUUGAGAACAACCAGGGGCUCUGGAAUGGCGGAUAUUAUUCACAGUUUUUUGGAAUUGGAGGAGUUAUGGUGACUGUUGCAAUUCUUUGGUUAUCUACGGGUUAUUUUGGAGGAAUUGGUGCUCCUUUUGCUCCAUACUUUUGGCCAUAUUUAGGACAAGUCCCCAAGAAGAAGGAACGGCAAAGGCCCGUGAGAGUCUACAUGGAUGGAUGCUUUGACCUCAUGCACUAUGGCCACGCAAACGCGUUGCGACAGGCCAAGUUGCUGGGAGAUCAACUGGUAGUGGGCGUUGUCAGUGACGAGGAGAUUGUGGCGAAUAAGGGCCCGCCUGUGCUUUCGAUGGAAGAGAGGUUGACGCUUGUUAGUGGAUUAAAGUGGGUGGAUGAAGUCAUACCCAAUGCACCCUAUGAGAUUACGGAGGAAUUUAUGAAUACCCUCUUCAGUAAAUACAACAUUGAUUACAUUAUACAUGGAGAUGACCCUUGUCUUCUACCUGAUGGAACGGAUGCUUAUGCCUUAGCAAAGAAGGCUGGACGAUACAAGCAAAUCAGGCGUACUGAAGGUGUCUCAAGCACCGAUAUAGUCGGGAGAAUAUUGCAAACAUUCAAGCAUAAAGAGGGUGUUAGUGAGAAUGCUGGAGUGGAAUCAUGCGAUCAGAUGAAAACCCAGCUAUCCAAUUUUCUUCCAACUUCCCGCCGGAUAAUGCAGUUUUCAAAUGGGCAGGCUCCUUCACCAGGUGCUCGUGUUGUUUAUAUAGAUGGUGCAUUUGACCUUUUCCAUGCUGGUCAUGUUGAGAUCCUUAGAAGUGCUAGGCAACUUGGUGACUUCCUUCUUGUCGGUGUUCAUGAUGACCAGUCCAUCAGGGAAAAAAGAGGCUAUCCUCCUAUCAUGCACCUCCAUGAGCGUACCCUUGGUGUACUUGCCUGUCGCUAUGUUGACGAAGUUAUAAUAGGCGCACCAUUGGAGGUUUCAAGGGAUAUGAUCACUACAUUCAACAUUUCAUUGGUUGUGCAUGGGACAGUAGUCGAGGGUGGUUCUGCUAGUGAAGUUGAUCCGUACGCCCUUCCAAAGAGCAUGGGUAUUUUCCAAGUAGUCACAAGCCCCAAAACAAUAACAUCUGUUUCGGUCGCUACAAGAAUAAUUGAUAACCACGAAGCGUACAAGAAAAGAAACUUGAAAAAGAAGGCGAGUGAAGACAAGUACUACACGCAAAAGAAAUUUGUCUACGGAGACUAA
rnacentral:rRNA from 1 species